rnacentral:rRNA from 1 species
GUGGGGAAUCUUGCACAAUGGAGGAAACUCUGAUGCAGCGACGCCGCGUGAACGAUGAAGCCCUUCGGGGUGUAAAGUUCUUUCGACAGGGACGAUAAUGACGGUACCUGAAGAAGAAGCUGCGGCUAACUACGUGCCAGCAGCCGCGGUAAUACGUAGGCAGCGAGCGUUGUUCGGAAUUACUGGGCGUAAAGAGUGCGUAGGUGGUUGACUAAGUUUGGUGUGAAAUCUCCCGGCUUAACUGGGAGGGUGCGCCGAAAACUGGUUGGCUAGAGUGUGGGAGAGGGACGUGGAAUUCCUGGUGUAGCGGUGAAAUGCGUAGAUAUCAGGAGGAACACCUGAGGUGUAGACGGCGUCCUGGACCAUUACUGACACUGAGGCACGAAAGCGUGGGUAGCAAACAGGAUUAGAAACCCGGGUAGUCC